rnacentral:tRNA from 2 species
ACGAUUAUGAUGAAAUGGUAAACAUAGUACACUUAAAAUGUAUAGGCGUUUAGCCUUGUGGGUUCGAGUCCCACUAAUCGUA